rnacentral:rRNA from 1 species
CGAGCGGAACGAGUUAUCUGAACCUUCGGGGAACGAUAACGGCGUCGAGCGGCGGACGGGUGAGUAAUGCCUGGGAAAUUGCCCUGAUGUGCGGGAUAACCAUUGGAAACGAUGGCUAAUACCGCAUAAUAGCUUCGGCUCAAAGAGGGGGACCUUCGGGCCUCUCGCGUCCGGAUAUGCCCAGGUGGGAUUAGCUAGUUGGUGAGGUAAGGGCUCACCAAGGCGACGAUCCCUAGCUGGUCUGAGAGGAUGAUCAGCCACACUGGAACUGAGACACGGUCCAGACUCCUACGGGAGGCAGCAGUGGGGAAUAUUGCACAAUGGGCGCCAGCCUGAUGCCCCCAUGCCGCGCGCAUGAAGAAGGCCUUCGGGUUGUACAGUACUUUCAGCACUG